GGAAUUGCUCCGGUACUCCACUUUUCAAAAUUACACAAAUCUUAAAGCAACUCAUCUAACUAAUUAUAUAUUUUCCUAAUUGUUUUCCACUUGGGUCAUGCAUGGGACUAGUCCGUUGGAGCCCAGCCCAUGUCCAGCCCAAACUCACCUCUCAUCUCUCAGUCCGUUUUGUUCCGUCACGGUUUCUCGAUUGUUUCCUCACAGCCAGCGAAGGUCCUCUCCAAGGAUGUCCUCACUACAUGCGCAGGGGAUGAAUGGUGUCGUUCGAACCAAAUUCAGUCCAAGCUCCAUUGAUCCCCUUUGUUCGGAUCUUGCUCCACCAUGUGCCAGAAGCCAGGGGCGGACAAACGAGCACCGCUGGUUUUUUGGCCUCCCAUCGACGGCGCGACCGCAAGCGCACAACAAAACUUCUUGGUUUGAGCCACGAUGACGCCGUUAUCUGCAUCUGUCUCCAUGAACGAGAAAACAAAACAAAGCGAGCGAUAUGUCUUUGGGUCUGGGCUGGGUAUCGAUGGGAUAGGCCCAUGCGGGAUGCAAGAGAAAGUUAAUAAUUAAGAAAAAAUUAACUAGUUAAAUGUGCUGCUUUAGGAUCCGUGUAAUUUGUAGAAAGAGGAGUGUUGGAGCAGUUCCC
rnacentral:lncRNA from 1 species